CCCUUAGAUGUCCUGGGCCGCACGCGCGUUACACUGAUGCAUUCAACGAGCUUAUAACCUUGGCCGAGAGGCCUGGGCAAUCUUGUUAACGUGCAUCGUGAUAGGGAUAGAUUAUUGAAAUUAUUAAUCUUGAACGAGGAAUUCCUAGUAAACGCAAGUCAACAGCUUGCGUUGAUUACGUCCCUGCCCUUUGUACACACCGCCCGUCGCUACUACUGAUUGGAUGUUUAAGCGAGGUUCUCGAGCUGCUAGCGACUUAGCUUCGGUGAGGUCGCAGUGUGGGAAGUGAACCUAGCUUUGGUGUCUAGAGGAAGUAAAAGUCGUAACA
rnacentral:rRNA from 1 species